rfam:Salmo salar isolate Sally breed double haploid chromosome ssa06, whole genome shotgun sequence.
UCCCAUGUGGCUCGGUUGGUAGAGCAUGGCGCUUGAAACGUCAUGGUUGUGGGUUCGAUUCCCAUGGGGGAA